UGGGGAAUUUUGGACAAUGGGCGCAAGCCUGAUCCAGCCAUGCCGCGUGCGGGAAGAAGGCCUUCGGGUUGUAAACCGCUUUUGUCAGGGAAGAAAUCUUCUGAGUUAAUACCUCGGGAGGAUGACGGUACCUGAAGAAUAAGCACCGGCUAACUACGUGCCAGCAGCCGCGGUAAUACGUAGGGUGCAAGCGUUAAUCGGAAUUACUGGGCGUAAAGCGUGCGCAGGCGGUUUUGUAAGACAGAGGUGAAAUCCCCGGGCUCAACCUGGGAACUGCCUUUGUGACUGCAAGGCUUGAGUGCGGGCAGAGGGGGAUGGAAUUCCGCGUGUAGCAGUGAAAUGCGUAGAUAUGCGGAGGAACACCGAUGGCGAAGGCAAUCCCCUGGGCCUGCACUGACGCUCAUGCACGAAAGCGUGGGGAGCAAAACAGGAUUAGAUAGCCCCUGGUAGUCCACGCCCUAAACGAUGUCAACUGGUUGUUGGGAAGGUUCCUUCUCAGUAACGUAGCUAACGCGUGAAGUUGA
rnacentral:rRNA from 1 species